UACAGAGUGCAAAAUAGAUAGCAUAAUAUAUACACAUAAAUCACAACUCUGAUUAAAUUGGUCUCAGUCAGGUAAAUCAUCAGUCUAUCGACCACGAGAGGCCGUGACUCUGGCAAUACGCCGCCAAGGGCCGCCUCUCCUCACGAUAACGCACACAGUGAAGCAGGAUGUGUUCGACAGAGAGGGUGACAUUACAGGUGGAACACUGUGGUGGGAAGGUGUUGACUAUGUAGGGGAGCAUGUGGGUGGGGAGGGUGCAUCCCAUCCUGAGGCGUGCGAGGACCACCUCCUCUCGCCAUGUGGGGCGACUGGAGGAGGCCCACUCGCCCAGGAUGGGUUUGAUGGUGUGGAAGUGGAGGUUGUUCCAGUGACUCUGCCACAGGAGUUUCGCUGAUGAUUUAAUUAAGGGGCCCUAUCACGGAUUUCAUGGUAAAAUCGAAAAAAAUCACCAUUUGAGGUUUCUGUCUCUAAAAUAAAUACCAUCAUAUGGCAAUAUCGUGUUCAAGUUUGAAAAUGUUUGGAGCACUAGAAAUGCUUUAAACGGGGCUUUAAUAAUUGGUUUAAAUGUCCCACGCGCAGCACAUGGAUUUGUUUACAUCGCAGAAAUGUCCUAUAAACUCUUCCCUGUAGGAUAUAUAUGAUUUUUAUGAUUUUUAUUUUUGAAAUUAUCGUACCCUGGAAGGGUGCAGGCUCCUCUCUAAGCAGCCAGCCAGUUACCAGUAGCUCGCGGGCUGUCGAGGAGAGCAGAUGUAUGUCAAAUUGAUGUAUGAUCCGCCCCUUCAUACUCCACUUUACAUAACUUUUCGUUGCUGCUGGACACAGUUAUCACUAUGGGGAGACACAGCAAGCUUCGUAAGUCACAGAAACUCAAAAUAGAGGCUGCUAGGAGGUCACUAGAAGCAAAAAGAAGGACGCACAGACAGGCUGACACCGUCCAACCCGUCCCGCCUGCAACGAGUGACGUAAGGAAUGAGGAUGCAGUUCCUCCCGCCCGCACCUCAAGCGCAGAGAAGCGAAAAAGACUUUCUUACAAGGAAAAAGAAGAGGAAUUGAGUGAGGAGGAGAAUCUCAUCUGCAAGAAGAGUGACAUUAGGGAAAUAGCAAAACAUGUUACGUGUAACAAGUGUAAGGAACAUGAUGUCACUUCUGAAUUUGUCCAUCAUCAGUGUGAUGUGAUCAUAAAAUUAGUGUGCUCAAAUUGCAAACAUAUUGUGUAUAACAGUGGUGACUCAGGUAAAAUGAAAUGUGGAGAUACUGGUCUGUUCAUGUUGACAGCAAUGAUUAUCUAUUUGGUCAAGUUGCUGGGGCAUGGUUAUGCUGCGGUGGAGAGGCUCUGCAGUAUCUGGAGUAUGCGUCACUUUUCCUUUGUUACGUAUGGGAAAUACACUAAAUUCAUCAACGAACAUGCUGUAGAAAAUGUAAAUGAUAUUUUGAAAAGAAGUAGGAAGCAGUGUUUCAGUAUUAUGCUGAAAAUCUGAACAGACAUCCAGAUGAAAAUGGUAUCCUCGACAUAGAUGCCACAUACGAUGGCUCCUGGCACAAGAGAGGCUAUAAGUCAAAUUAUGGAAUUGCAGCAGUGGUUGAUGCUCACACAAACCUUAUUCUAGAUUAUGAAGCUAUGUGUAAAGUGUGCUCUGUUUGUGACGCAAAAAAGAAAAAAACUAGCAAAGAGGGAGAUUUCAGCUGAACAGUACGAACAAUGGAAAAUGAAUCAUGUAGCCUCUUGUUCUAAAAAUUACGAAGGCACCUCAGGAGGAAUGGAGCCUGAAGGGGCCAAAAGGAUUUGGAACAGAUCCAUAGAUUAUAAUCUGAGAUAUGUUAAUUUCAUAUCCGAUGGUGAUACCUCUACUUUUUUGGAGCUUACACAAAUGAACAAUGGUGAAGGACCAUAUGGGAUGGCUCAUCAAGUGACGAAAGAAGAGUGUGUCAAUCAUGUUCAGAAAAGACUUGAAAGAGGAGCGCACUGAGCAUGGGAAUCUUCGCUCAACUUUAGAGGCGAUUUUCUCGAAUGGGCUGUUGCAUCACACUUACAUGUAGUAUUAGGCCAAUUUGUGAUAUUCAAAAUAAAUUAGUUUAAUUAA